UGGGGGGAUUAGUGGCGAACGGGUGAGUAACACGUGAGUAACCUGCCCUUGACUCUGGGAUAAGCCUGGGAAACUGGGUCUAAUACUGGAUACGACCUUUCACCGCAUGGUGGGGGGUGGAAAGCUUUUGUGGUUUUGGAUGGACUCGCGGCCUAUCAGCUUGUUGGUGGGGUAAUGGCCUACCAAGGCGACGACGGGUAGCCGGCCUGAGAGGGUGGACGGCCACACUGGGACUGAGACACGGCCCAGACUCCUACGGGAGGCAGCAGUGGGGAAUAUUGCACAAUGGGCGCAAGCCUGAUGCAGCGACGCCGCGUGAGGGAUGAAGGCCUUCGGGUUGUAAACCUCUUUCAGUAGGGAAGAAGCGAAAGUGACGGUACCUGCAGAAGAAGCGCCGGCUAACUACGUGCCAGCAGCCGCGGUAAUACGUAGGGCGCAAGCGUUAUCCGGAAUUAUUGGGCGUAAAGAGCUCGUAGGCGGUUUGUCGCGUCUGCCGUGAAAGUCCGGGGCUUAACUCCGGAUCUGCGGUGGGUACGGGCAGACUUGAGUGAUGUAGGGGAGACUGGAAUUCCUGGUGGUAGCGGUGAAAUGCGCAGAUAUCAGGAGGAACACCGAUGGCGAAGGCAGGUCUCUGGGCAUUAACUGACGCUGAGGAGCGAAAGCAUGGGGAGCGAACAGGAUUAGAUACCCCUGGUAGUCCUGGCCGUAAACGUUGGGCCCCUAGGGUGUGGGGGACAUUCCACGUUUUCCGCGCCGUAGCUAACCGCAUUAGGUGCCCCGCCCUGGGGGAGUACGGCCGCAAGGCUAAAACUCAAAG
rnacentral:rRNA from 1 species